rnacentral:rRNA from 1 species
AUUGAACGCUGGCGGCAGGCCUAACACAUGCAAGUCGAGCGGAUGAAGGGAGCUUGCUCCUGGAUUCAGCGGCGGACGGGUGAGUAAUGCCUAGGAAUCUGCCUGGUAGUGGGGGAUAACGUCCGGAAACGGGCGCUAAUACCGCAUACGUCCUGAGGGAGAAAGUGGGGGACUUUGGGACUCACGCCAACAGAUGGGCCUAGGUCGGAUUAGCUAGUUGGGGGGGUAAAGGCCUACCAAGGCGACGAUCCGUAACUGGUCUGAGAGGAUGAUCAGUCACACUGGAACUGAGACACGGUCCAGACUCCUACGGGAGGCAGCAGUGGGGAAUAUUGGACAAUGGGCGAAAGCCUGAUCCAGCCAUGCCGCGUGUGUGAAGAAGGUCUUCGGAUUGUAAAGCACUUUAAGUUGGGAGGAAGGGCAGUAAGUUAAUACCUUGCUGUUUUGACGUUACCAACAGAAUAAGCACCGGCUAACUUCGUG